UGGGGAAUUUUGGACAAUGGGCGCAAGCCUGAUCCAGCCAUGCCGCGUGCGGGAAGAAGGCCUUCGGGUUGUAAAGCUCUUUUGGCGGGGAAGAUAAUGACGGUACCCGCAGAAUAAGCUCCGGCUAACUUCGUGCCAGCAGCCGCGGUAAUACGAAGGGAGCUAGCGUUGUUCGGAAUCACUGGGCGUAAAGCACACGUAGGUGGGCAGUUAAGUCAGGGGUGAAAGCCCGAGGCUCAACCUCGGAAUUGCCUCUGAUACUGGCUGUCUAGAGUUCGAGAGAGGUGAGUGGAAUUCCUAGUGUAGAGGUGAAAUUCGUAGAUAUUAGGAAGAACACCGGUGGCGAAGGCGGCUCACUGGCUCGAUACUGACACUGAGGUGCGAAAGCGUGGGGAGCAAACAGGAUUAGAUACCCACGUAGUCCCUGAGCGGGCUGGCAAGGCGCAU
rnacentral:rRNA from 1 species